rnacentral:lncRNA from 1 species
GUCUGCUUGAAUCGAAGGGAUAACUUUCAUGAACACACCCAAAAUCGCAGCUAGUCAGAGGCAAUAUUUUGAUAGAAUGACUACUCUUGUUGUGAAUGCGAUACAACGCCUGAUUGUCUAAUAUUAGUUGACAGUUACAGUCAGUGUUUCACACUGUGAGUUAACCUACAUUAAACAUUACUUCUUACAUUCGAAUCCACGCAUCUUAUCUAGCUUGCAAGCCCGCUAACGGGUGCCUCUCCUGCAUCAGCUAUACAAUGGAUGAAGAGUUAGACUGCAAACCAAGUGUUACGCCCACUUGUAAGACUGAACCGGAUCCUAUGGAACCGAUGGAUGCCAUACCUAACAUUAAUGGUUUAGAAGCAGAACAUUUGGGAAUUAAGGUGGAGGUCAUUGAAGUAGAAAACCCGAAAGAGGAGGAGGUGGAUGAAACCUAUUCGGAUGCCCCGCACACCUUUCACUUUGUGACAACGACGAAGGAGGAGGAAGAUGAGGAUGACGAAGAUGAAGUGUCUGAUUUGAUGGGACCAGGUCAGUACAGAGGGGCAUUCCAGGAAGCGGGUCACUUUAGUCACUUACCUGGGUAUGUUAGUAUCCAUGGAAACAUACACGUCAGUGCUAGACAGUAGUCAGAGAUCUAAGAGUACUAUGCAGAAUCUCGCAACACCUCUGUGAGGGAAGCUACGACUCUCUCUUUUUCGCCAUUGCAGCUCACAGGUUCAAACGUUCAGUAGAUAUAGUUCGGUUACAGGUUCGCUGAGAAUGCACAGGUCAAGUCAAGGUUAACCAACACAGUGGAUAUAACCUGGAAUACCCCUCAGGAUGCCACCACAAUUAAUCAUCACAUGAAUGUGAAUGCAAUUCGGAAACUGGAAACAAAGUAGUCCAGAUUAAGCUUGUCGGUGUUGAGUGGUAAUUAUGAAUGAUAAGUCCAUGAAUGUGCAGUGAGACAAAGCAUGAAUGGAGAGAAGGAGACUCUUGUUUUUGUUUAUUGAAGUUUGAUGAGACGUGCCAUUCUGCUCAGCACACAUUAUUAUCAUUAUUAUUAUUAUUAUCAUUAUUAUUUCUCCUCACCUUCUUAUCAUACAUCCUUUCUAGUGGAAGACGAUAUUGACGAAGCAGAAGAGGAAGCCGAAGCUGAGGCGAUUGAUGACUUCUCAUCCAGUAGGUGUAUCUUCAGAAUUUAAUUAACGGACAAAUACAAGACUACAGUGAAAUGAAACACAGAUCCCCUUGAACAGUGAAAUCAUCAUCAUAGAGUGAUUUGAAUGAAUACAUAAUUGAC